rnacentral:rRNA from 1 species
UACGUAGGGUGCGAGCGUUAAUCGGAUUUACUGGGCGUAAAGCGUGCGCAGGCGGCCCGUUAAGACAGGUGUGAAAUCCCUGGGCUCAACCUAGGAAUUGCGCUUGUGACUGGCGGGCUUGAGGACGGUAGAGGGAGACGGAACUGCUGGUGUAGGGGUGAAAUCCGUAGAGAUCAGGAGGAACACCGAUGGCGAAGGCAGCCCCCUGGGCCUGUACUGACGCUCAUGCACGAAAGCGUGGGGAGCAAACAGG